rnacentral:tRNA from 1 species
AUUAAGUUAGUUUAAUAUAGAACAUUAGAUUGUGGAUCUAAAAAUAAAAGAUUUUUUACUUAAUC